UACGGAGGGUGCAAGCGUUGCUCGGAAUUAUUGGGCGUAAAGGGUAUGUAGGUGGUCUUAUUUGUCUGGGGUGAAAGCCUUGAGCUUAACUCAAGAAGUGCCCCAGAAACGGUAAGACUAGAGUCCUGGAGAGGGUCGUGGAAUUCCCGGUGUAGCGGUGAAAUGCGUAGAGAUCGGGAGGAACACCAGAGGCGAAAGCGGCGACCUGGACAGGUACUGACACUCAACUACGAAAGCGUGGGGAGCAAACAGG
rnacentral:rRNA from 1 species